rnacentral:rRNA from 1 species
GUAGGUGGCAAGCGUUGUCCGGAAUUGUUGGGCGUAAAGCGCGCGCAGGCGGUUCUUUAAGUCUGAUGUGAAAGCCCACGGCUCAACCGUGGAGGGUCAUUGGAAACUGGAGAACUUGAGUACAGAAGAGGAAAGCGGAAUUCCACGUGUAGCGGUGAAAUGCGUAGAGAUGUGGAGGAACACCAGUGGCGAAGGCGGCUUUCUGGUCUGUAACUGACGCUGAGGCGCGAAAGCGUGGGGAGCAAACAGGAUUAGAUACCCUGGUAGUCCACGCCGUAAACGAUGAGUGCUAAGUGUUAGGGGGUUUCCGCCCCCUUAGUGCUGCAGCUAACGCAUUAAGCACUCCGCCUGGGAUACGGCGCAAGGCUG